UAAUUAUAGGUGUGAGAGGCAUACCAAAUUUUGAAUUUGGAGGGAGUAUAUCGUUUUAUAUUAUAAUUAA
rnacentral:tRNA from 1 species